UACGAAGGGGGCUAGCGUUGCUCGGAAUGACUGGGCGUAAAGGGCGCGUAGGCGGUGAUCAUAGUCGGAUGUGAAAUUCCUGGGCUUAACCUGGGGGCUGCAUUUGAUACGUGGUUGCUUGAGUGGGGAAGAGGGUCGUGGAAUUCCCAGUGUAGAGGUGAAAUUCGUAGAUAUCGGGAGGAACACCAGUGGCGAAGGCGGCGACCUGGGCAGAUACUGACACUGAGGUGCGAAAGCGUGGGGAGCAAACAGG
rnacentral:rRNA from 1 species